GUCGAGGUGGCGGAAUGGCAGACGCGCAGGUCUCAAAAACCUGUGGUGCUCAAACACCAUGAGGGUCCGACUCCCUCCCUCGGCACAA
rnacentral:tRNA from 1 species